UGUCACUAUACCACAAACUCAAGACUCAUCUGUCUGAAGGAAGUGAUCCGUGCACUGGUCUAUCCAGAUCAAUCACCAUCCCCAUGAUGAUCCUUUGAUUAGGAGCAAUUUAGAAAUUAACCAUCAAUGACACAUGUCUCAAAUUCUCCACUCUUUGAGAAUAUGUGUCAUUAUCUUGUUAAUCCCUUGGAUGAUUCAUGGAUA
rnacentral:lncRNA from 1 species